rnacentral:rRNA from 1 species
CAGCCAUAAACUAUGCGCGUUAGGUGUAUCGGUGACCACGAGUUACCGAGGUGCCGAAGGGAAACCGUGAAACGUGCCGCCUGGGAAGUACGGUCGCAAGGCUGAAACUUAAAGGAAUUGGCGGGGGAGCACCACAACAGGUGGAGCCUGCGGUUUAAUUGGACUCAACGCCGGGAAGCUCACCGGAUAGGACAGCAGAAUGAUUGCCGGGCUGAAGACCCUGCAUGACUAGCUGAGAGGAGGUGCAUGGCGUAGACGUCU